rnacentral:snoRNA from 1 species
GGACAUCCAGAGAGUUGCUCUCCUGGCUCUGUCCUGGUGGCGUAUGGGAGCGUAGCUCUGAGCUGAGACGUACAGUCCCGUUCCACA